rnacentral:rRNA from 1 species
GUAGGGGGCAAGCGUUAUCCGGAUUUACUGGGUGUAAAGGGAGCGUAGACGGCAGCGCAAGUCUGAAGUGAAAGCCCGGGGCUUAACCCCGGAAUGGCUUUGGAAACUGUGCAGCUAGAGUACCGGAGGGGUAAGCGGAAUUCCUAGUGUAGCGGUGAAAUGCGUAGAUAUUAGGAGGAACGCCAGUGGCGAAGGCGGCUUACUGGACGGUAACUGACGUUGAGGCUCGAAAGCGUGGGGAGCAAACAGGAUUAGAUACCCUGGUAGUCCACGCGGUAAACGAUGAAUGCUAGGUGUUGGUGAGCAAAGCUCAUCGGUGCCGCCGCAAACGCAUUAAGCAUUCCACCUGGGGAGU